rnacentral:rRNA from 1 species
UAGGGAAUCUUCCACAAUGGACGAAAGUCUGAUGGAGCAACGCCGCGUGAGUGAAGAAGGGUUUCGGCUCGUAAAGCUCUGUUGGUAGUGAAGAAAGAUAGAGGUAGUAACUGGCCUUUAUUUGACGGUAAUUACUUAGAAAGUCACGGCUAACUACGUGCCAGCAGCCGCGGUAAUACGUAGGUGGCAAGCGUUGUCCGGAUUUAUUGGGCGUAAAGCGAGUGCAGGCGGUUCAAUAAGUCUGAUGUGAAAGCCUUCGGCUCAACCGGAGAAUUGCAUCAGAAACUGUUGAACUUGAGUGCAGAAGAGGAGAGUGGAACUCCAUGUGUAGCGGUGGAAUGCGUAGAUAUAUGGAAGAACACCAGUGGCGAAGGCGGCUCUCUGGGCCGUUACUGACGCUGAGGAGCGAAAGCGUGGGGAGCGAACAGGAUUAGAUACC